rnacentral:rRNA from 1 species
GAUGAACGCUGGCGGCGUGCCUAAUACAUGCAAGUCGAGCGAACGGACGAGAAGCUUGCUUCUCUGAUGUUAGCGGCGGACGGGUGAGUAACACGUGGAUAACCUACCUAUAAGACUGGGAUAACUUCGGGAAACCGGAGCUAAUACCGGAUGAUAUUUUGAACCGCAUGGUUCAAAAGUGAAAGACGGUCUUGCUGUCACUUAUAGAUGGAUCCGCGCUGCAUUAGCUAGUUGGUAAGGUAACGGCUUACCAAGGCAACGAUGCAUAGCCGACCUGAGAGGGUGAUCGGCCACACUGGAACUGAGACACGGUCCAGACUCCUACGGGAGGAAGCAGUAGGGAAUCUUACGCAAUGGGCGAAAGCCUGACGGAGCAACGCCGCGUGAGUGAUGAAGGUCUUCGGAUCGUAAAACUCUGUUAUUAGGGAAGAACAUAUGUGUAAGUAACUGUGCACAUCUUGACGGUACCUAAUCAGAAAGCCACGGCUAACUACGUG